AAAGCUGAAGAUACAUCGGAUUUAACUCGGAAAUUUCAGCUAGCGAACAGAAAAAAAGAAAAAUUACAAAAAGACAGACUUUUUCUUCUUCAGAAGAAGAUGAGAAAUGCAAUUAUAAAUGCUUGCCAAAGUCUCCUGCCUUAACAGUUACCUUAUUCGGAUGUCCCAUGGACAUCCCAAUGUCCGGCGUCGGACGUCCAUGUGCUGUCUGAGACAUGAGUAAGAAUAGGAAAAUUUUUCAAUGAGGAUACAAAGAUAGUAUCACUUAGAUUUUGUAGAAAAAAAAUAAAGAUUUAAGGGGUACAUACACACA